rnacentral:rRNA from 1 species
GCGACAGGCUUAACACAUGCAAGUCGAGGGGCAGCGAGGGAGUGGCAACACUUCUGUCGGCGACCGGCGCACGGGUGAGUAACGCGUAUGCAACCUGCCCUUCACAGGGGGAUAACCGGGAGAAAUUCCGACUAAUACCGCAUACGUCCUUUGGGGGCAUCCCCGGGGGAUGAAAGAAUUAUCGGUGAAGGAUGGGCAUGCGUGAUAUUAGGUAGUUGGCGGGGCAACGGCCCACCAAGCCCACGAUAUCUAGGGGUUCUGAGAGGAAGGUCCCCCACAUUGGUACUGAGACACGGACCAAACUCCUACGGGAGGCAGCAGUGAGGAAUAUUGGUCAAUGGACGAGAGUCUGAACCAGCCAAGUCGCGUGAAGGAAGACGGAUCUAUGGUUUGUAAACUUCUUUAGUGCGGGAACAAAGCGGCGUCGUGACGCCGGAUGAGUGUACCGCAAGAAUAAGCAUCGGCUAACUCCGUGCCAGCAGCCGCGGUAAUACGGAGGAUGCGAGCGUUAUCCGGAUUUAUUGGGUUUAAAGGGAGCGCAGGCUGCGAGGCAAGUCAGCGGUCAAAUGUCGGGGCUCAACCCCGGCCUGCCGUUGAAACUGUCUUGCUAGAGUUCGAGUGAGGUAUGCGGAAUGCGUUGUGUAGCGGUGAAAUGCAUAGAUAUGACGCAGAACUCCGAUUGCGAAGGCAGCAUACCAACUCGCGACUGACGCUGAGGCUCGAAAGCGUGGGUAUCGAACAGG